ensembl:misc_RNA Metazoa_SRP Metazoan signal recognition particle RNA
GCCGGGCGCGGUGGCGCGCGCCUGUAAUCCCAGCUCCUCGGGAGGCUGAGGUUGGCGGAUCGUGGGUGCUCGGGAGUUCGGGGCUGCGGCGAUGUGUGGAGCGGGCGUCCGCACCGGGCCUGGCACCAACAUGGGGCUCCCGGGGGAGCCCGGGGGUGCCAGGUUGUCUAAGGAGGGGGGGACCAGGCCCAGGCCGGACGCGGAGCAGGUCAAACUCCCCGUGCUGGGCGGCGGUGGGACCGCGCCCGCGAGCAACGCCUGCAGUUCUGCCCGGGACAUCUGACGAGACCCGGUCUCUU